UACGAAGGGGGCUAGCGUUGCUCGGAAUUACUGGGCGUAAAGGGAGCGUAGGCGGACAUUUAAGUCAGGGGUGAAAUCCCGGAGCUCAACUCCGGAACUGCCCUUGAUACUGGGUGUCUUGAGUGUGAGAGAGGUAUGUGGAACUCCGAGUGUAGAGGUGAAAUUCGUAGAUAUUCGGAAGAACACCAGUGGCGAAGGCGACAUACUGGCUCAUUACUGACGCUGAGGCUCGAAAGCGUGGGGAGCAAACAGGAUUAGAAACCCGAUAGUCC
rnacentral:rRNA from 1 species